rnacentral:rRNA from 1 species
ACGUAGGUGGCAAGCGUUGUCCGGAUUUACUGGGCGUAAAGAGCACGCAGGCGGUCGUUCAAGUCGAGUGUGAAAGCCCCCGGCUCAACUGGGGAGGGUCACUCGAUACUGAUCGACUCGAAGGCGGGAGAGGGAAGCGGAAUUCCCGGUGUAGUGGUGAAAUGCGUAGAUAUCGGGAGGAACACCAGUGGCGAAGGCGGCUUCCUGGCCCGUUCUUGACGCUCAUGUGCGAAAGCUAGGGGAGCAAGCG